ACGCUUCCCGCAGUUAUUAUACCUGAAAGCUACACAUACGAAGUACUGAAGUUAACGUUCAUGUGCUACUGCAAAACUUGGAUAACGUUGUGUAGCUUCCCAUUUUCCUACUAACUGUGAUUUACUUUUUUUUUAGCACAAGGAAGCUUCAGUGGAAGAAGUUGGCUGAGGUCAUCAACACAGAGUUUUUGUGCAACGUGACUGCCACACAAGUGGAAAACAAGUGGAAAUCACUUGACAGGGCAUAUAAAAAGUAAAAAAAAGAUAACAAUUCUUCAGGUCACCACCGUGUGAACUGCGAAUACGAAGAAGAGCUGGCAGAAGUCCUCGAAAAGGAACACAGCGUUAAUCCGAGGCUGCUCUUGGAGCCUGGACAAACAAUCCUGCCCAGUGAUGCAAGCUCAGAGACCAGCACCUCUGAAGCACCUCAGGAUAUACCAGUCCCAGUUGAGGGCAACACAGCAUCAGAAGUUGAGAGCAGUACACCAUCAAAAAGAAAGCGUCGCAGUAGGUCCCAGGUCACGCCACUCUUGGAGGCUUUAGAAAAAAUGCAAGCUUCAAGAGCUAGGCAAGAGGAAGCAGUAAAAAAGCAACUGGAGGAAAGAAAAAAAUGGGAAGAGGCAAAGUCCAAGCGACAUGAUGAGCGCAUGCAGCGCUUUGAUCGAUUGAUGGACAUAUUAGCAAAUGAGCAUGGGCACAAAAUGGGCAAUAAGCUUUUGUAACACUA